rnacentral:rRNA from 1 species
UAAUUCUAUACAACUAUAGAAUCUAUUAUGUUAAAACUAGUAACAAGAAAACAGCCCUUCUCUAUAAUGUAAGUGUAAGCCAGAAAGGACAAACCACUGUCAAUUAACACAAAUGAUUUUCAAUUAGCAACACCUCAAGAAAACCCUACUUAACUUAGUGUUAAACUGACACAAGAACAUUACAAGAAAGAUUAAAAGAAAAAGAAGGAACUCGGCAAAUAAUGACCCCGCCUGUUUACCAAAAACAUCGCCUCUUGACAACAUAUAAGAGGUCCAGCCUGCCCAGUGACCUAAGUUCAACGGCCGCGGUAUCCUAACCGUGCGAAGGUAGCGUAAUCACUUGUUCUUUAAAUGGGGACUAGUAUGAAUGGCAUCACGAGGGUUAAACUGUCUCCUUUUUCUAAUCAGUGAAACUAAUCUCCCCGUGAAGAAGCGAGGAUAACUUUAUAAGACGAGAAGACCCUAUGGAGCUUAAAACAAAUUUACACCUGCUUUAUUACACCCACCUUCCCGAACACUUACACAAACUAUAGCAUGCUUGAUAAAUAGUUUUCGAUUGGGGUGAUCAUGGAGAAAAAAAUAACCUCCACGACGACAAGGAGUUUCCCUGAGCCAAAAGCCACAACUUUAAGCACUAAAAAAUUAAC